UAACAUGAUUUGAUCAAGAAACACCAUUUUACAUUGCAAUUAAAAGGCAGGGACAAGAUAAAAGAAUUUUUGCAAGUCAACGGAUCUAAGGGAAAGGUGGGAAAUCUUCUUAUCAGAGAAGACCAACAAGCACAAUCCUAAGAUGAUAACCAAGGAACUCACUUGCACUAAAAAGGUGUUUAUUUAAAAGAAGCAAUAACUGUAACUUUCCAGGUCAACACUAGCACAGACCGACUCAUCAUAACCAUCGCAAACACCACAACAAGAACUUUCAACCAAAAUGGGACACCA
rnacentral:misc_RNA from 1 species